rnacentral:misc_RNA from 1 species
CCCUCCUCGCUGGACUCAUCAAACCCACUCCUCCGCCCCUGCCUCUCUCCCUAACACGCACACGCACAGCAGCCGCAGGCUACGUUCUCCCCACCCACCCUCCUCUUCCACCCCUCUUCGCUGCCGUCUGCGAGAUCAGCACUGCACACAAAGCACCUCCCCCCUACACACACGUACACACGCGCAUACUCCGGCUGUUGCUGCGAGCCACGAAAAUGACCACCAUGGCUCGCGUGGAUGAGACGCUGGCGCGUUUCAAAGGCAAGUCGCCGCGGGACAGCUACAAGCAAGUCUGCGGCGAGCUUGACGUGCACAUGCAGCGCGAGAUCUAUGCGGCAUUGCCAGAGAAACCGAUGGCGUGGCACCACAUCUACACGCUGGACUUGGGGAAGUCUCUGUUGGGCACUAAAGGCUGCAUGGCGAUGCUGCCUCUCAUCACCGUCAGCACCUCGAUGCGCAAGCUUAGUCUGCGCUCGUGUGGCUUGUCGGACGAGUUCGUGAUUCAGCUGUGUGCCGUCCUGCAGAGCCACCCGUCCCUACGGUCGGUGGAUAUCAGCGACAACGAGCUCGUCACGGUGUACAGUGCGCCGCACAUCAUCAGCGUCAUGCGCAACAACUCGAACAUGGUGCUCUUCGACGUGUACAACACCCACGUCGGUUCCAACGUCGGUGACAUCAUCGCUAAGCUUGGCCAGCGCAAUUUGGACAACGUCCUGCACUACUACGAGGACCGCUAUUUCCGCAUGAAGAACCUCUUCAACUAUAUGGACGCGGACGGAACGGGCUGGGUGGUUCUCAAGUCUCUCGUCCUCAACUGCCCAUACCCGGUGCUGCAGGAGCAGUUCGUCGAGCGUAUUGCCACUAAGCAGCCCCGCAAGCGUUCCGACAACACCAUCAGCAUCAACACGUUUCUGCAGCUGGUCUACAUGAACUACAAGACCGAGACAGAGAUCGGCGCUUAUUCUAACAAGACGAUUGAUGAGCCCUACGUGUUCAUAGUGGCGAACUGGAAGCAGUUGCUGCACGCGGUGGAGCGGUACAACGUGCGCGCCGCUGCCAUGGGGGAUGGCCAGGGCCCGCACCCUCCUGUGCAACUCCCCGACAAUCUCCACCGCUGGCGUCUGCGAGAUUACAUCAUAACACCUGACGAUGCAGACGCCAUGGUGGAGGGCGCGGUGCAGCUGAUAGAGCACUCGUCGGCGAUGGCGGAAGGGGAACCGGAGCUCAAUGGGUCGGGCGAGCGUGCUGAGCUGGAUGCCGAGGUGGACAGCGACAAGCAGACAGCGGAGAACGCGGCGGAGGUGGCCCCACUCGUGAUCCCCAUCACCAUCCUUCUCCGGGCCGCCAAGUCAGUUCUCGUCUUUCCUCCCUCCGUCGCCAAGCCCUCGUACAGCUUCUACACCGACCACGACGCCGCUUACGUGCCGGAAAUCCUGCGCAACGGGUCGCGUCUCUUCAGUGUCAGUCGCCUCUCCUGCCUCUUCAGCGGUGGUGCCUCCACCCCCGGCGACAGCGCGAGCUCGGCCGACGUCGUGCAGGACUCCACCGACCAGCCGCACACCUUCUCGCUGCCCGCGUCAGUGGUGAAGAUGGUGGUGGACUUCUUCAACAAAGAGCACAAAAAGCUGCCCACGAAGAAGCAGUCCGUAAUCCCUGACAGCCCCCGAACUCGCCGGGACAAAGCGAUGGAGAAGGCAUCGAUCCCCGUGCCGACGUUCCUUAGCGCCGAGUUCGUCAGCGACCUGGAGCGGGUGUGUCCUCGCUUCCUCGCUGACUACUACGCUCGCCACGCACUGCUGAUCGAGGAUGGCACCAUCACGCUGCAGGAAAUGGUGAACGUGCUGGACGAGAUGUACGCGCAGUGCCGAAUCGACCGCCUCAUUUCGCUGGCCGACAUCAAGGCCAUGCCGGACCCGAUGAAGGAUAAGUCCCUGGUGAGCUUCGUGACCGCCCACUUCGCGGACCGCGACGAGGGCAUCUCCUUCUUGGAGCCGUUCAAUGACUUGGUAGCGUACUGAGAGCGUGCAAGAGGUACUCACGCACGCGCAGGCACACAGACAGACACAGGCCCACAGACCAAAGUCUACGACGCGCGCCUCUACUCAUCCUACCACAGCUCAGCGGAUGCUGUCGUGUGCGCCCACAGAAGCAGGGUUGUGUGUAGUGGCUGCCACACCGUCGUUGUUCUCUUAUUUGAUCUUCUCGUUUCUGUUCCCAGCCUCUCUUUCGCUUCCUUUCCCUCCUUUCUCCCCUCUCCCAUCAUGUGGGAAGAGCAUGUAUCAUGCAGGCGGCACGCAAGUCACGCUUUGCUUUAUAUGUCGUGUCUUUGUACAUAUCUAUAUGGAUAUCUACAUAUCUAUAUGGAUAUCUACAUAUCUAUAUGGAUAUCUACAUAUCUAUAUGGAUAUCUACAUAUCUAUAUGGAUAUCUACAUAUCUAUAUGGAUAUCUACAUAUCUAUAUGGAUAUCUACAUAUCUAUAUGGAUAUCUACAUAUCUAUAUGGAUAUCUACAUAUCUAUAUGGAUAUCUACAUAUCUAUAUGGAUAUCUACAUAUCUAUAUGGAUAUCUACAUAUCUAUACAAAGCGCCCAUGUAUGCCAGUGUCUCUCCACCCCCUUUUCACCCCUCAUCGGACCAUUGCGAGCAAAAAAUGUAUACGCAGGCCCACCGCCUCCGUCUCGCUCCGCGUCUCUCCACUGUUUCGUCUUUUCUCUUUUUUUUCUUUACUUGGUGCCUGUCUGCGUGUGUGUCCGCCUCAGCAUCUGCAUACGUGAGCGUGUUUGAGAGUCGAUGGCGAUGAUGUACAGCUACACGUACACACUGUACUUCUUAUAGGCAUAGGUGCCCCCCUAUGCCAUCGAGGCAAUCCUGUUUCCUUCUCUUUUUCGUUGCUUGUGUCAGUUCGCCUGUCUGUCUACUCUCUCUCUGCGCGUGCGAUGCGCUCGUGCGUCGAGAUAUUGCGAGAGAGAGAGCGAGGGCGAGAGCGCAGGCGGAGUGGGACGAGCUUGAUGAUGGGCAUGGCGGCGCUGCAGACAGGGAUGGGGAAGGAGGUGCGGCAGUUCACAAACUUUACUUCCUGUUAUCCUCCCCCCUCUCUUCAUCCUCCAGUGCCUGCACCGCCGCCUCUUUUUCUAUAUUUGAUCCCCCUUCAUUUCGCGUUUCACCGUCUCCUCUCAUCUCCCCAGACUCUCGACGUGUAAUGCCGAUCUCCUUCGGCGCGCCGUUGUGGCACUCAACAAACACACACACGCGCAUGCAAACAGUUAUGUAAAGUACUGAUGCUCAUCUUUACUUUCGCGUUGUUCUCUCGGAGCCGCCGCAGCGUUCGCUUUCACGUGUGCAGCUGUCGAACGCUGCGGCCUCUUUUCUCUGCCCUUUUUGGCCUUCUAGCAACUACCACGGCGCUUCGACCCUCCCCCUCCCCUUCCCCCUCUGAGAGGUACCUCCGCUGCGAGUCACCAGACAAGCAGCAGAAGGAAGGAUAACAGCGGUAGAGGGAGGGGGUAUGCAGCAACGCCGUGGUGCAUGUCGCUUCUCCGAGUCAACCGCGAUGUUAUGCAUGGAAAGUCUUUCUUAUUGUCUUGCGCGUCUGCACGCGUGCGUCUGUGUCGGGCCCGGCCCGAGUCGUCAUGCUUUGGG